CAUUUAAGUCUGAGUAUGACACCAUGGCAAGGAACAUUAACAAGGACGGCUCAGCAGAUUAUGGUAUACUGUAUUUCAAAUUAACAGUCGUUGGGGGUGUGAGGAUAGAGAGACACCAGGCUCCAAGAAUGCCUGUAAAAUCUCUUGUAAUGCACUGCAGAAUGAUGACAUCACUGAUGACAUUAAAUGUGCCAAGCGAGUGGUCCGGAACCCCAGUGGACCCCAACCAAUCUGGAUGGAUUGGAGGCAUUACUUGCUGAAAAAGACCUAAUAAAAUACAAAGAAGAUUGUGACCUGUACUGAAGAUAUCCAACGUGCACCACUCCCGCAACUGGACAACCAGAACAAUUUAGCUUUCCUCUACAUAUUGCUUCAAAAUUAACUAAUGUAUUGAACUGCCCUGUCUUCGAUUCCCUGCUUUCUUAAAAUACCCUU